rnacentral:rRNA from 1 species
GUGAGGAAUAUUGGUCAAUGGGCGGGAGCCUGAACCAGCCAAGUCGCGUGAAGGAAGAAGGAUCUAUGGUUCGUAAACUUCUUUUGCAGGGGAAUAAAGUGCAGGACGUGUCCUGUUUUGUAUGUACCCUGAGAAUAAGGAUCGGCUAACUCCGUGCCAGCAGCCGCGGUAAUACGGAGGAUCCGAGCGUUAUCCGGAUUUAUUGGGUUUAAAGGGUGCGUAGGUGGUUUGAUAAGUCAGCGGUGAAAGUUUGCAGCUUAACUGUAAAAAUGCCGUUGAAACUGUCGGACUUGAGUGUAAAUGAGGUAGGCGGAAUGCGUGGUGUAGCGGUGAAAUGCAUAGAUAUCACGCAGAACUCCGAUUGCGAAGGCAGCUUACUAAGCUACAACUGACACUGAAGCACGAAAGCGUGGGGAGCAAACAGGAUUAGAUACCCUUGUAGUCC